rnacentral:rRNA from 1 species
UACGUAGGGACCGAGCGUUGUCCGGAAUCAUUGGGCGUAAAGAGCGUGUAGGCGGCUAUUUAAGUCCUGCGUGAAAUCCUGCGGCUCAACCGCAGACGGUCGUGGGAAACUGGAUGGCUAGAGUGCGGGAGAGGAGAGUGGAAUUCCCGGUGUAGCGGUGAAAUGCGCAGAUAUCGGGAAGAACACCGAUGGCGAAGGCAGGUCUCUGGGCCACUACUGACGCUGAGAAGCGAAAGCAUGGGGAGCGAACAGG